rnacentral:rRNA from 1 species
CUACGGGGGGCUGCAGUGGGGAAUAUUGGACAAUGGGGGAAACCCUGAUCCAGCGAUGCCGCGUGUGUGAAGAAGGCCUGCGGGUUGUAAAGCACUUUCGGUUGGGAGGACUGCUUCUAGCACUAAUAUUGUUGGAAGUUGACGUUACCUUCAGAAGAAGCACCGGCUAACUCCGUGCCAGCAGCCGCGGUAAUACGGAGGGUGCAAGCGUUAAUCGGAAUUACUGGGCGUAAAGCGCGCGUAGGCGGCUAGAUCAGUCGGGUGUGAAAGCCCCGGGCUUAACCUGGGAACUGCAUCCGAUACUGUCUAGCUUGAGUACAGGAGAGGAGAGUGGAAUUCCACAUGUAGCGGUGAAAUGCGUAGAUAUGUGGAGGAACACCAAUGGCGAAGGCAGCUCUCUGGCCUGAUACUGACGCCGAGGUGCGAAAGCGUGGGGAGCAAACAGGAUUAGAUACCCCUGUAGUC